GGCCAUACCAUGCUGAAUCUCGUUGGAUCACCAAAGUCAAGCAUCAUUGGGCGCGGUCAGUACUUGGGUGGGUGACCACCUGGGAACACCGCGUGCCGUU